UGAAAGUUAAAUGGGUUCAUUGACACACUUGACACAGAAUCCAGCGUAGUGUAUCCACCUUAUUUUGAAGCUUCUCCAGGGCAACGCCAUAUUACAGCAUUUUGUCCUGUGAUUUCUGCUUCAGACCGGAAGUGCAGUUGUCAACAAAAGGAACGAGCGGUGUAAGCUAACCAGAUAGCGAUUUUAUUUCAUCAAGAUGUCGAGGCUGCCAUAAUAACUGGGCCAAGAGGAGAGAGUUUUUGAAACAAACCUGUUUUGAACAUCAUGUGGAGAGAUGGGAGUGUUGUGGGGCACCAUAUAAUCUACAUUGUCCGCCCAAAGACGAGGAGCACAUACGGCUGUGGCUGAAAGCGCUGAGCCUUAAGUGCCCACCGAAGCGCCGUUAUGUAUGUUCAUUUCAUUUUGUGGACAGAGAGCCGACAGAGGAGCACCCUUACCCCGAGAAAUGGCUCGGCUAUGAUGCUCCAGUAAAGAACCCACUGCGGGCUUUGAAGAGGUUGUCAGAUAGGGAUAUGACAGUCAGUGUCAAGGAUGCAGAGGAGAAGGAUGACCACAUUUACAUGCCUCCACGCUGUGAUGUGGAAACUCAGUGGGAGGAUCUGUCUGUCUCUGAACACAGCUAUGCUGCAAGAUCAUCAGUCCAUCUGAAGCCCCUUUCAUCUGACAUCUUUACAAUAUAAUUGUAAUAAACCUAAAAAUUUCUGA